rnacentral:lncRNA from 1 species
CCACGACACUAUUUUGGGAGCCAGGAUGUCAGGGGCACUCUGUAACUAAUACUGAACUCAGACUCUAUUCCUAGCCCUGGCGGAGAAUGUGAAGAUGAGGCCAGAGGGAACAUUGAGAAGAAGGAUCUCAGAGAAGAAGGAAAAUUCAACAGAACCUAGGAAAUGCAACUGCUAUUGCCUGGGCCUUUGUUCCUGGAAUGGACUCUGCAUGAUGCAGCUUGGAGGACAUCUCCUCUGGGAUCCCUCCCCACUGCCCCCACCACUUCCUGGAGUGAAUGAGUCCUCUGUAGCCAUCAGGAUUCGCUGUAUCAGGAGUGUUCCUCUGCUGUCACCUCUGAUGACUAUUUUCCUCAAUUCAGAAUCCCCAGCACCUGCAAAAGGUCUGGAUCAAGAAGGGGCUGAGCAGGAACAGAGGAUUGCAGUUCUUAGGAUGGCCACGCGAGGGAAGUGGUGA